rnacentral:rRNA from 1 species
CUACGGGUGGCAGCAGUGGGGAAUAUUGGACAAUGGGGGAAACCCUGAUCCAGCAAUGCCGCGUGUGUGAAGAAGGCCUGCGGGUUGUAAAGCACUUUCGGUUGGGAGGACUGCUUCUAGCACUAAUAUUGUUGGAAGUUGACGUUACCUUCAGAAGAAGCACCGGCUAACUCCGUGCCAGCAGCCGCGGUAAUACGGAGGGUGCAAGCUUUAAUCGGAAUUACUGGGCGUAAAGCGCGCGUAGGCGGCUAGAUCAGUCGGGUGUGAAAGCCCCGGGCUUAACCUGGGAACUGCAUCCGAUACUGUCUAGCUUGAGUACAGGAGAGGAGAGUGGAAUUCCACAUGUAGCGGUGAGAUGCGUAGAUAUGUGGAGGAACACCAAUGGCGAAGGCAGCUCUCUGGCCUGAUACUGACGCUGAGGUGCGAAAGCGUGGGGAGCAAACAGGAUUAGAUACCCCGGUAGUC